GAGCAGACGGUUAUCCCUUUCUAGCCUGUGCUUGUGGUUUUAGAGGGAGUCAGUCUGCUAAAUUAAAAUGGGGGAGGACCUUGCCGUUGCCCGGCCCAGCUGGCCCUGGUGCAGGCUGCAGGUCUUCCCCACACCA
rnacentral:snoRNA from 1 species